AAAGUUGCUUAGACAGCUGGGAAAGGGAAAUCGUGAAAAACGAGCAGACCCCCUAACGCAUGAAAAGAAUCUUCUUGGAACUGGAGAUCCCAAGUCACUGAUAAAUGUUUUGUAUCUUAACAACACAAUGCAUUUUGGAACGAGAAGCAGAGCUGAACAUGUCAGUCUCUGAUGGGGUGAUGUGCAGCAAAAGGUCACCUCGACUGGAGAGGAAUAUUUAGAAUAUAGAGAGAGAUCAACAAAGACAAGAACUGGGGUCAUAAGUGAGAGUCGGAGUUUUGCACCAAAGAUGUUUGAAAAUAGAGAUAAUCCGCGAUGCCCUGUUUUAGCGUAUAAAGAGUUUGCCAGGAGAAGACCACAACAGAUGAACAACCCCGAGUCGCCAUUUUACUUAGGAGUUUCAAAGCACCCUGAAAAAGCUUGGUACGUCAACCAACCAAUGGGAAAGAAUACGAUUGGCAACAUUGUGAAGGUCACGUGUGAGGCAGGGGGAAUCCAAGGAAGAAAAGUUAACCACAGUGCAAGGAAGACAGCCAUUAGUUCCCUAGUACAUGCUGGUGUCCCCCCAACCAUAAUUCAGCAGCUGUCCGGCCAUAAGAAUGUUAACUCUAUUAAUAAUUACAGCACUGCCUCCAAUGAAAAACAGAGGCACCUGUCUUCUAUUUAAUUCUUACAAACUAUUCAUCUAGUUGCUCGGAACCACCAGUCACAGAAUUCGACAGUUCCUCUUCAUCCCUUGAUAAAUAUAGCUCAGCUCUGCCGUCCACCAGUGUGGUGCCUUCAUCAAACACUGACGACAUCAUUCAUCAAACACUGACUGAAAUAAGUUCUUAUGAAAAUCAACCCAUAAUGAAAGAGCAUGUCUUUGGCAAUUUUAGGGGGGGGGGGGGGCAAUAUUUCUGGCAAUGUUAUAUUUAACUUCUCUUCCAAACAACCAAAACCCCUUAAGAGAUGUAGAGUCAUCUACAGUGAUUCAGAGUCAGAUUCAGAAAAAGGAACUAGAUCUGUGAUAUCUUGUAAAUAUGUUCAAAUAUUAAAAGUGAAUUUGUGUUAUAGCUUUAACUGUGAUAUUUUCUUUGUUAUAAAAUGUUGUUAUUGUCAAAAAAUAUGAAAGAUUAUUUGUGUUCAAAUUGUUUGUUAAGUUUACCAUGUAUCAUAUUGUUAAAAAUGAAAUUUGAAUCAUUUAUGUUCAUAAGAAAAAGGAACUGGGUCUGUUUUAUCUUUUAAAUAUGUUCAAAUAUUAAAAGUUAAGUUGUUUUAUAGCUAUAAAUGUGAUAUUUUUUUUGUUUUUAAAGUUGUUUAUUGUGAACAAUUUGAAAGAUUAUCUGUGUCCAAAUGAUCUCUUAAGUUGCUGUUUGUUAUAAUUGCGUUACAUUUUGUCUUUAUACAUGUAUCAUAUUGUACAAUGUCUUUUUAAUCACUCAGAUCCAGAACAGCUGUCGAACUGCGCAGGUACAGACUUAUUUGAAGAUUUGAAAAUCUGAAAAAAUAUGAAGGGGGCUCUUAAAAAUGAAAUAUCAUUUAUGUUCAUAUUCUCUGUUUUAAGUUGUUGUUAUUAAACAAACUAAAUUGUU
rnacentral:misc_RNA from 1 species